ACAUUAUACUACACAGCAAUCCUCUCUUACAUACAACCUUCAGAAACCAUUACUAUGCUUCCUUGGUAUUAAUAUUGUUCGGAAAAUUAUGGCAUCCUCAGGGACUUUACUUCUUCUUGGCCUUGUCUUUGCUGUUCUCCUUCUCUCCUCUGAAAUCUCAGCUCGUGAGCUAGCUGAGACUACUCCUCAAACCCAGGACAGCGUAGAAAAGGCUGGCAACCAAGUUCAGGGCCAUGAGCAUGGACAUGACCACGGUCAUGGAGGGCAUGGACAUGACCAUGGUCACGGAGGUCAUGGCCACAGGCCAUGAUGGAAAACUGGGAAUUUGUGCUGCAGAGACUCAAACAAAAAAUUAGCUAACCUCUUAGCGUCUAUGUGUGUUGUAAGAGUCGUAUAAUAUGCAAUAAAGCUGUAUUGGUUGAGUAGUUUAUAAACUCUCAAUCAUAUAUAGCCAGGCUUUAAGCUUUAUCUUGUAUUCUCUUAAUCGAUCACCUUAGUAUGUGUUCUCUUAAUCGAUCAUCUUAGUAUGUGUUACGAUACGCUUUAAUUUUCUCAAUAAAUAUUUGCAAAGUUAAAAAUGUCUAGCAUUUCAAGUCUACUAUUAAGGAGUUUUCUUUGGAUACUCAU